GAGAGCCGCGUGGCGGGCGCGCUUGUUCUGGUUGCGGAGGGGCAGCUGCAGCCGCUCGUGGUGGUGGUGGGAGCGGGGGCCUGGUUUCCUGAGGGGCCGGAGAACGGGCCCCGCCGCGCUCCCAGCCACGCGGCUAAACGCUUCUGCCGCUCUGCUUGGCGCGCCCCCCCCCCCCGGCUGAGGCUUUCGGGCCGGCGCGUGGGUGCGCCCCUCCCCCCGGCCCGGGCGCGCGGGAGGCUCAGAGGAGAACGUGGCGUCGGGGGGGGCGCUGGUGGCGCGGCAGAGGCGGGCGGGGGGGCCGCCACCGCCUUUCCGGUAACGUGGCUCAUUGUGUCCCUGCAGGUGGGGACCGGACCGCAGCGGAGCCGCCGCCGCCGGUGGGAGCGGGCUACAGCAGGGACCUUGCAGACUUGAGACCCAGAGCAGCCAUCUGUUGCCAGGACAAACAUUCCUAAGUUGUGAGGACUUUGAAGAAGGUGUAGUAAACAACACAGCUAGACUUGCAGAAACUUGAAGUAAAACAAGUUUGCUCAAGGGCCAUUUAAAAAAAAAACAACCCUUUUGGUUGCUGAUUGGAAGGACAGCCAGCAGUGAAAAUUGUACUAUUUGCUUUGGAAAGUGGUGCAACAUAACCCAACCCAAGAAAGGCUGCAGCCAGCCAGCAACUCGAGCAAGUGUUAAAAGACCUGUCUAAUAAAUGCUAAAAUCCGGUUUGGAUAUGGGUGGUGAAAAUUGGAGUUUUUUUGGAUGGGUCCUAAAAACAUACAUGAGAUGCCAUUUGGUUCAUGAAGACUGUGCUUUAAAAGUGUCUCUUCAUAGUUCCACUUACAGCCUCCUGGAAGCUGCAGUGCACUGCCUUUAGACUUCCAUGCCAGCUGACUUGAUGCGGCAGUGUGGCUGGCAGUCCAGCAACUAAGAGGGUUGCUAGCACAAAAGCAAAAGAGUUUCUAAAGCUCCUGCUUCUGCUGCAAAAAUCAUUUUUUCUUCAUCUCCCUUCCUCCCCUUUAAAUAUGUAUAUACAGAACGUGUAAUUUCUUUCUCCUGCAAAAAACUAAUUCUAAAAGUAUGACUUAAUUUUACAACACUCCCAAAUUCUUGUUGAAUUGAUUCCACUGACUAUUUAUAAUCCAAAUAUUGGACAAAUAAAUUGAGAUCAUGUGCUGCAUUUGUUAAAGAAGUGAAACUAGAAAGAACAAAUGAAACUGCCACUCUUCAGAACAGCCACAAUUCUUGUCUCAGAAAUUAAUAGUCCUUGCUAACUAUAGCAGGAGAACCACACCAGUACAGAUAUUUAAAGUAUUACAUUCACAAAAGUACUAGGCCAUUUGAAUAAAAUAUACUGAUUACACAACUG